rnacentral:rRNA from 1 species
CGAAAGCCAGGGGAGCAAACGGGAUUAGAUACCCCGGUAGUCCUGGCCCUAAACGAUGAAUGCUUGGUGUGGCGGGUAUCGAUCCCUGCCGUGCCGAAGCUAACGCAUUAAGCAUUCCGCCUGGGGAGUACGGUCGCAAGGCCGAAACUCAAAGGAAUUGACGGGGGCCCGCACAAGCGGUGGAGCAUGUGGUUCAAUUCGACGCAACGCGAAGAACCUUACCCAGGCUUGAACAGCCAGUGACCACUUCCGAAAGGGAGCUUCCGCAAGGACACUGGUAGAGGUGCUGCAUGGCUGUCGUCAGCUCGUGUCGUGAGAUGUUGGGUUAAGUCCCGCAACGAGCGCAACCCUUGUCUGCUGUUGCCAUCAGGUUAUGCUGGGCACUCUGCAGAGACUGCCGGUGAUAAACCGGAGGAAGGUGGGGAUGACGUCAAGUCAGCAUGGCCUUUAUGUCUGGGGCUACACACGUGCUACAAUGGCCGAUACAAACCGUCGCGAGCCCGCAAGGGGGAGCUAAUCGGAGAAAGUCGGUCUCAGUUCGGAUUGUCGGCUGCAACUCGCCGGCAUGAAGUUGGAAUCGCUAGUAAUCGCGGAUCAGCACGCCGCGGUGAAUACGUUCCCGGGCCUUGUACACACCGCCCGUCACAUCACGAAAGCCGGUUGUACUAGAAGUCGCCAUACCAACCCGCAAGGGAGGGAGGCGCCUAAGGUAUGGUCGGUGAUUGGGGUGAAGUCGUAACAAGGUAGCCGUA